GACGAACGCUGGCGGCGUGCUUAACACAUGCAAGUCGAACGGAAAGGCCCUGCUUUUGUGGGGUGCUCGAGUGGCGAACGGGUGAGUAACACGUGAGUAACCUGCCCUUGACUUUGGUUUAACUUCAGGAAACUGGGGCUAAUACCGGAUAGGAGCUCCUGCUGCAUGGUGGGGGUUGGAAAGUUUCGGCGGUUGGGGAUGGACUCGCGGCUUAUCAGCUUGUUGGUGGGGUAGUGGCUUACCAAGGCUUUGACGGGUAGCCGGCCUGAGAGGGUGACCGGCCACAUUGGGACUGGGAUGAGGCGCAGACUCCUACAGGAGACAGCAGUGAGGAAUAUUGCACAAUAGGCGGAGGCCUGAUGCAGCAACGCCGCGUGCGGGAUGAAGACCUUCGGGUUGUAAACCGCUUUCGCCUGUGACGAGGCGUGAGUGACGGUAAUGGGUAAAGAAGCACCGGCUAACUACGUG
rnacentral:rRNA from 1 species